UAGUAUUAUUUUGAACACCAUUAUUAGUUUUGUAUGAAUAUUAGCCAUCUCAUGAUGGGAGUGACUAUGUCCUGAUAAUCCAUUGCUUUCUCUCCUAAGGUUUAGGGGAAGUUUUUGCAAUUCCCAAAUGGUUUUGUCUUUUAAAUACAGAAAGCAGAAAUUCAUAAGUAAAUGUGAAGGCAACUAGAGGUUCCAGUUCUUACCCAGUAUUUGAUUUCUAGGCAGGAACACCAGCCAUUUGGGCAUUCAGGCACUGGAGAAGUUAAUGCCUUUUGUUUCCUUUACAUCAAGACUGAAGAUAUGAGAGAUACAUUUCCUGGAGUCACAGAGAUACAUGCAGGUCCAAGAAUGAAGAUAGGAGGUGGGCCAUAAACUGACAUGUUAACUGAAAGUUCUACUCUUUCAAAAAAUUGGCAAAUAAAUAAUAUCCUGUAAUGGCUAUGAAAUGUUUCUAGUCGGGCUUUUAU
rnacentral:lncRNA from 1 species